rnacentral:lncRNA from 1 species
GUUUGAUCCCCCCCCCCCCCCAAAAAAAAAAGGCUCUUGAACUCAUAAGCCAUUUGGAUAUUGCCUAUCUCUUUGAUUUGCAAAGCCGUGAUGAUGCUGAAAACUUGAUGAUCGGGCAAUGUAUGCGAUGCGCAUUUCUUUUGGCUUUGGAAUUUUUUUUAAAAAAAGAAAUAUCCAUGAAGAAACAAUCAUAUUUAUGCUAUAGGCAGUACAAGAAUUGCAAAAAUACUCUUCAAGAUUUCAACAUAUUUUAACGACUUGUAAGAACAUUUGAGAAAUUGAAGUAUUCAACCUAUGUAAGUAAUGACUUGUAAGAGCAGGCAAUCUUAGUUGACAAGCAAAUUGAUCAGAGCAGUCCUCCACCAAGUUGAGCAUCAAAAGUUUGAAAAAAGCACCCACAUUAGUGCACCACGCUAGCUUGACGCAACAAGUCAAUAUGCAACAUUUAAACUGAUUCGCAUUGGCAUCCAACUCGUCUUAAUUCCUAAGUUGACCGUCCUCACUCAUAACAUUAUCAAGGGUCUGGUUGCCC